CCUACGGGUGGCUGCAGUGAGGAAUAUUGGUCAAUGGGCGCGAGCCUGAACCAGCCAAGUAGCGUGAAGGAUGACUGCCCUAGGGGUUGUAAACUCCUUUUAUAAAGGAAUAAAGUGAGGCACGUGUUCCUUUUUGUAUGUACUUUAUGAAUAAGGAUCGGCUAACGCCGUGCCAGCAGCCGCGGUAAUACGGAGGAUCCGAGCGUUAUCCGGAUUUAUUGGGUUUAAAGGGAGCGUAGAUGGGUUGUUAAGUCAGUUGUGAAAGUUUGCGGCUCAACCGUAAAAUUGCAAUUGAUACUGGCAGUCUUGAGUACAGUAGAGGUAGGCGGAAUUCGUGGUGUAGCGGUGAAAUGCGUAGAUAUCACGAAGAACACCGAUAGCGAAGGCAGCUUACUAGACUGCCACUGACAUUGAUGCUCGAAAGUGUGGGGAGCAAACAGGAUUAGAUACCCUGGUAGUC
rnacentral:rRNA from 1 species